GUGGGGAAUCUUGCGCAAUGGGCGAAAGCCUGACGCAGCCAUGCCGCGUGGAUGAUGAAGGUCUUAGGAUUGUAAAAUCCUUUCACCGGUGAAGAUAAUGACUGUAGCCGGAGAAGAAGCCCCGGCUAACUUCGUGCCAGCAGCCGCGGUAAUACGAAGGGGGCUAGCGUUGCUCGGAUUUACUGGGCGUAAAGGGCGCGUAGGCGGACAUGUAAGUCAGGGGUGAAAUCCCGGGGCUCAACCUCGGAACUGCCUUUGAUACUGGGUGUCUUGAGUAUGAGAGAGGUGUGUGGAACUCCGAGUGUAGAGGUGAAAUUCGUAGAUAUUCGGAAGAACACCAGUGGCGAAGGCGACACACUGGCUCAUUACUGACGCUGAGGCGCGAAAGCGUGGGGAGCAAACAGGAUUAGAAACCCGAGUAGUCC
rnacentral:rRNA from 1 species